rnacentral:rRNA from 1 species
CUUGACAUCCCGAUGCUAUUUCUACGAGAUAGAAGUUACUUCGGUACAUCGGUGACAGGUGGCGCAUGGUUGUCGUCAGCUCGUGUCGUGAGAUGUUGGGUUAAGUCCCGCAACGAGCGCAACCCCUAUUGUUAGUUGCCAUCAUUCAGUUGGGCACUCUAGCGAGACUGCCGGUAAUAAACCGGAGAAGGUGGGGAUGACGUCAAAUCAUCAUGCCCCUUAUGACCUGGGCUACACACGUGUUACAAUGGUUGGUACAACGAGUUGCGAGUCGGUGACGGCGAGGCUAAUCUCUUAAAGCCAAUCUCAGUUCGGAUUGUAGGCUGCAACUCGCCUACAUGAAGUCGGAAUCGCUAGUAAUCGCGGAUCAGCACGCCGCGGUGAAUACGUUCCCGGGCCUU